UGGGGAAUAUUGCACAAUGGGCGCAAGCCUGAUGCAGCCAUGCCGCGUGUGUGAAGAAGGCCUUCGGGUUGUAAAGCACUUUCAGCGAGGAGGAAGGUGGUGGACUUAAUACGUUCAUCAAUUGACGUUACUCGCAGAAGAAGCACCGGCUAACUCCGUGCCAGCAGCCGCGGUAAUACGGAGGGUGCAAGCGUUAAUCGGAAUUACUGGGCGUAAAGCGCACGCAGGCGGUUUGUUAAGUCAGAUGUGAAAUCCCCGGGCUCAACCUGGGAACUGCAUUUGAAACUGGCAAGCUAGAGUCUCGUAGAGGGGGGUAGAAUUCCAGGUGUAGCGGUGAAAUGCGGUAGAGAUCUGGAGGAAUACCGGUGGCGAAGGCGGCCCCCCUGGACGAAGACUGACGCUCAGGUGCGAAAGCGUGGGGCAGCAAACAGGAUUAGAUACCCUGGUAGUCCACGCUGUAAACGAUGUCGAUUUGGAGGUUGUGCCCUUGAGGCGUGGCUUCCGGAGCUAACGCGUUAAAGUCGACCGCCUGGGGGAGUUACGGCCGCAAGGUUAAAACUCAAAUGAAUU
rnacentral:rRNA from 1 species